UGGGGAAUAUUGGACAAUGGGCGCAAGCCUGAUCCAGCCAUGCCGCGUGAGUGAAGAAGGCCUUAGGGUUGUAAAGCUCUUUCACCCGCGACGAUGAUGACGGUAGCGGGAGAAGAAGCCCCGGCUAACUCCGUGCCAGCAGCCGCGGUAAGACGGAGGGUGCUAGCGUUGUUCGGAAUCACUGGGCGUAAAGGGCGUGUAGGCGGCCUGGACAGUCAGAUGUGAAAGCCCGGGGCUCAACCCCGGAACGGCAUUUGAUACUGCCAGGCUGGAGGUCGGAAGAGGAGGGUGGAAUAUCCAGUGUAGAGGUGAAAUUCGUAGAUAUUGGAUGGAACACCGGUGGCGAAAGCGGCUCUCUGGUCCGAACCUGACGCUGAGGCGCGAAAGCGUGGGGAGCAAACAGGAUUAGAUACCCGUGUAGUCC
rnacentral:rRNA from 1 species